AUUGAACGCUGGCGGCAUGCCUUACACAUGCAAGUCGAACGGUAACGGGCCUUCGGGCGCCGACGAGUGGCGAACGGGUGAGUAAUGUAUCGGAACGUACCUUUCAGUGGGGGAUAACGUAGCGAAAGUUACGCUAAUACCGCAUAUUCUGUGAGCAGGAAAGCAGGGGAUCGCAAGACCUUGCGCUGAUUGAGCGGCCGAUAUCAGAUUAGCUAGUUGGUGAGGUAAAGGCUCACCAAGGCGACGAUCUGUAGCGGGUCUGAGAGGAUGAUCCGCCACACUGGAACUGAGACACGGUCCAGACUCCUACGGGAGGCAGCAGUGGGGAAUUUUGGACAAUGGGGGCAACCCUGAUCCAGCCAUGCCGCGUGAGUGAAGAAGGCCUUCGGGUUGUAAAGCUCUUUCGGCCGGGAAGAAAUCGUAUCAGCUAAUACCCGGUGCGGAUGACGGUACCGGCAUAAGAAGCACCGGCUAACUACGUGCCAGCAGCCGCGGUAACAC
rnacentral:rRNA from 1 species